UAUACCCUCACCGCCGCCACCCUCUCCCCCGUUCCCCACCUCCUCCCAUUCCCCCUCCUCCGAAACCCUAGCAAUGGCGUGGCGCGGCCACGCCACACGGACCGUCCUCGCCGCCGUGCGCCGCCCGGCCGCCGCGCCAGCGGCCGCCCGCCUACGCGCCCCGCUCCCGUUCGCGGCCCCGCGCCGCCGCGUCCCGUCCGCCUUCACCACCUCCUCCGCCCCGCUCCCAUCCGCGCGGCCUCUGGCGUCGUUGAUGGGGUCCCCGGUGACGGUGGCGGCGGUGAUGGCGCGCCUCACGGCGCACCCGGGGGCCAGCGCGCGGGCGUGCUGCGAGCUCUCACAGGGAACUGGAAAGGAUGGGUGAUGCAAGAGAGGCCAUUGUAGAGCCUGCCAAAGGUGCUGAUUUGAAGCAUGUACUCUUUUGGUACUUGAAGCUGUUGUGUAGAUUCCAUCCUUUUGAAAGGAUAAAAGAGAUAUCUUUUGGAAAGCUAUUCUGGCAUUUCAUCUACUGCAAAGUUAGAUGACUUUACCCAGCAUUAGCCAGUUUCCUCCUUAGGUUUCUAGAUUAGACUGAAAUAAAUUUUAUGCUACAUGGCAUGGCGUGUGCCCGUGGACUUGUAUUUUCUUUCUACGGUUUGUGAUGUCAUACGUCUGCUGAGAUUCUUUGGUGUCAAAUUUCAGUUGACCUGUUAAAUUAUAGUGUUACUACCGCCUUUGUGUACCUUUGCAUGAGGUGUCAGCGCAGUUUGCAUUA